GAAUGUAGUGGGUGUUUUUUAUGUGCCACUGGUAUUGGUGCCAGUUAUGAAACACUGGCAUCAGCCAUCACUGUGAUCUCACUUGACUUGACAUGUCUUCACAAG